rnacentral:sRNA from 1 species
CCGCGUCCCCCGCGCCUCCUCCCAGCGCAGGUGGGUCCGCCCGCGGGGGGCGGGGGUGCCCGGGAGCCGUGGGACGGGCGGGUAGCGGCAACCUUUGGGGAGCAGAGUGGUCCCCAACGCCCAGGUGCCCCGGCUUGCGCUCUGGCCCGGGCGAAUCGGGCUAUAGGAAGGGCCACACGGAUGGAAGUCCUAGUCCGGGUGCUUACCUCUUGUGGAACGUGCAAAGCCUGUCCCAGGACCUCUUUACACUCUGGGGGUCUCUGCCCAGGCACGCUUGCUGCUUCCGGACACAGCUGUGGGCGGAGCUAGUAGGGGCGGGGCUACGUGAUUGACACUUCUCUCCUCAGACUUCAAGGGCUACCACUGGACCCUUCCCCUGUCUUGAACCCUGAGCCGGCACCAUGGUCAGCUCCUGCAAGGCAACCUGCACUCUUCCAACCCGUUCAUCCUUGUAGCACGGACGCCUGAAGGUGAAGACGUCAGAAGAGCAGGCGGAGGCCAAAAGGCUAGAGCGAGAGCAGAAGCUGAAGCUAUACCAGUCAGCCACCCAGGCCGUAUUCCAGAAGCGCCAGGCUGGUGAGCUGGAUGAGUCCGUGCUGGAACUGACAAGCCAGAUUCUGGGAGCCAACCCUGAUUUUGCCACCCUCUGGAACUGCCGACGAGAGGUGCUCCAGCAGCUGGAGACUCAGAAGUCUCCUGAAGAGUUGGCUGCUCUGGUGAAGGCAGAACUGGGCUUCCUGGAGAGCUGCCUGCGGGUGAACCCCAAGUCUUAUGGUACCUGGCACCACCGAUGCUGGCUGCUAGGCCGCCUGCCUGAGCCCAACUGGACCCGAGAGCUGGAGCUCUGUGCCCGUUUCCUGGAGGUGGAUGAGCGGAA